UACGGGGGGAGCAAGCGUUGUUCGGAUUUACUGGGCGUAAAGGGCGCGUAGGCGGCCACCGCAAGUCGACUGUGAAAUCUCCGGGCUUAACCCGGAAAGGUCAGCCCGAUACUGCGGGGCUAGAGUGCAGAAGGGGCAACUGGAAUUCGUCGGUGGUAGCGUGAAAUGCGUAGAUAUCAGGAGGAACACCUAUAGCGAAGGCAGCUCGCUGGGACGGUACUGACGCUGAGGCGCGAAAGCGUGGGGAGCGAACAGGA
rnacentral:rRNA from 1 species